CAGUUCGGAUUGUAGUCUGCAACCCGACUACAUGAAGCUGGAAUCGCUAGUAAUCGCGGAUCAGAAUGCCGCGGUGAAUACGUUCCCGGGUCUUGUACACACCGCCCGUCACACCAUGGGAGCCGGUAACGCCCGAAGUCAGUGACCCAACCGAGAGGAGGGAGCUGCCGAAGGCGGGACAGGUAACUGGGGUGAAGUCGUAACAAGGUAGC
rnacentral:rRNA from 1 species